rnacentral:lncRNA from 1 species
UGCGAAUCUCCGUCGUGUGACAUCUCUUCCUCCUAAGAUGAAGAUCUUGAAUAGCCCCUCCUUCUAGCGCCAAUUUGUUGAUAGAGGAAUUUGGUAAUCAACAAAGAUGAGGUUCAUAGCCGGAAUCAAGAUCUGUGACGGUGGUUUUAGCUGCCGGAGUGUGGUGGUUGUGUGUUUUAGAGGGUGGCUGAGAUUAGGGUUUUGAGUUGGUCUCACGUGCUCUCAACUCAUGAUCCCCCAAUGUGCCUACGUACCCCUAUUUACAGGGGAUCAAGCCAUACGUAGUUCUAUUGGACCAGGAGUCCUAGUUUGAUCAGGACUAGGCCUCUUGGCGAUAAGGUCGGAGAUAGGCCGAAGGCCCAUCUUGGAGAAUCCUACUCCUGUUAGAAUUAGUCUUGAGUAUGACUAC